CGAACCCGGAAGUUAAGCCCUGCCCGCACGGCGAGUAGUGGGGUGGGCGACCACCCGCGAAAGCCGUGUGCUGGACCCC
rnacentral:rRNA from 1 species